AUUGAACGCUGGCGGCAGGCCUAACACAUGCAAGUCGAGCGGAUGAAGGGAGCUUGCUCCUGGAUUCAGCGGCGGACGGGUGAGUAAUGCCUAGGAAUCUGCCUGGUAGUGGGGGAUAACGUCCGGAAACGGGCGCUAAUACCGCAUACGUCCUGAGGGAGAAAGUGGGGGAUCUUCGGACCUCACGCUAUCAGAUGAGCCUAGGUCGGUUUAGCUAGUUGGUGGGGUAAAGGCCUACCAAGGCAACGAUCCGUAGCUGGUCUGAGAGGAUGAUCAGUCAAACUGGAACUGAGAACCGGCCCAGACUCCUAGGGGAGGAAGCAGUGGGGAAUAUUGGACAUAGGGCGAAAUCCUGAUCCAGCCAUGCGGCGUGGUUGAAGAAGGUCUUCGGAUGGUAAAGCACUUUAAGUUGGGAGGAAGGUGAGUAAGUUAAUACCUUGCUGUUUUGACGUUACCAACAGAAUAAGCAACGGCUAACUACGUG
rnacentral:rRNA from 1 species